GAUGAACGCUGGCGGCAUGCCUAAGACAUGCAAGUCGAACGAGAUGGCCCAGUGAAGGUUGAGUGCUUGCACGAGACUGAAUCUGGAUUCCCAUCUAGUGGCAGACGGGUGAGUAACACGUGGGUGACCUACCUUUUCGUUGGGGAUAACAGUUGGAAACGAUUGCUAAUACCGAAUAAAAUGUAAGAGUCAAUUUUACAUUGAAAGGAAGCCUUUAAAGCUUCGCGAUUAGAUGGGCCUGCGGCGUAUUAACUAGUUGGUGAGGUAAUGGCUUACCAAGGUGACGAUGCGUAGCCGAACUGAGAGGUUGAUCGGCCACAUUGGGACUGAGACACGGCCAAACUCCUAGGGAGACAGCAGUUAGGAA
rnacentral:rRNA from 1 species